GCUGCCUUAGCUCAGUGGUAGAGCACUUCCUUGGUAAGGAAGAGGUCUUGGGUUCAAAUCCCAAAGGCAGCACCA
rnacentral:tRNA from 1 species